GGGAAUUAGGGUUUUCUAUGUUGUGACUAUUCAUAUUCACUCAGACUCUCUUCUUCCCUCAUAUCGUUCUUGUGUCUCUUUCAUCGGAAAUCGUCUCCGCCGCGCCGGAGGCGGCGGAGGAUAACGAAAACCUGAAAUUCUCUAGGGCAAACAUUCGUCUCAUGACCCUCUUCCUUGAUAACCCAACGAAAACAACAAAUAGCCACAGUAAAGGCUUCAAUUAGCGAAACUUUAUCUUAACCCUAAGUCAUCGAUCAACGGCAAAUUGAAGAAAUGAACAUGGUUUCAGAGAAAUUGAAUAGGGACGAAGGAUGAACAAGCAUCAAAUGAAGGUAAAGUGUGGAGAACACACCAGAAGGGUGACCUUAAAGACUUACCUGGAGUGUGAACUAUCGAAGGCCGUUGAAGAAUACCAGAGGGGAGGUAAUAAGGCGUUGACGCGAUAAAGUGAGUAGAAGAUGGAUGAAGCUCUGAGAUAAAACGUUGAGGAUGAAGAAAAAAUUAGCAGGUGAUACAGGUUGCAGAUGAUGUUAUGCGCCUUGCAAAUGAAGGAUUUAUGGAGGGUGAAGAUUGAAGGUUGAUCAAUUAUGGAGGUUGGAGCUUGGUUUAGAGGUAAAGAAGAUGAAGAGAGAAAGAUGAAGAUUCAAGGGUGAAGUAAAUGAUGCAAUGGAGGUCAAUUGAGGGAUAAGAGUGGAUGAAGAUGAGAGUGAAAGUGGAAAAAUGGUGACGAAGUGACGAGAGGAAACUGAAGUAAUGAAGCCAAGUUCUGAUUUAUAGAAAUGGAGAAGCUUGAAUCUGAAGUAAAAUAAGGCUUUGGAAAAGGUUGGAAAAUGGUGUUGGCAACACACUUUAAAGAAUGGUCAGAGAAGUCUGGAGCAGUAAUUUGAAGGUUUAGCAACAUAGGAUCUCAUGUAUAGAAGCAAUGUAGUGGCAUGAUAUUUAGACUUCUAGAUGUGUAUAUUUUGUGUAAUAUGACCUGGACCAUGUUUGGAUGAAAUGGCAUUGUAUGAACAUUUAAGAUAAACAUGUAUUGAUAUUUUGUUUAAA